UGGGUAACCUGCCUCAAAGAGGGGAAUAGCCUCCCGAAAGGGAGAUUAAUACCGCAUAAUAUGUUUAGGUCGCAUGACUUUAACAUCAAAGGAUUUUCUUUUAGAAAUUCCACUUUGAGAUGGACCCCGCGGCGCAUUAGCUAGUUGGUGAGGUAACGGCUCACCAAGGCAACGNUGCGUAGCCGACCUGAGAGGGUGAUCGGCCACAUUGGAACUGAGACACGGUCCAGCUCCGUAGG
rnacentral:rRNA from 1 species